rnacentral:rRNA from 1 species
CACGUAGGUGGCGAGGUAAGUCAAAGGUGAAAGCCCUCGGCUCAACCGAGGAAUUGCCUUUGAAACUGCUUUGCUUGAGUCCAGGAGGGGGGAGCGGAAUUCCCAGUGUAGCGGUGAAAUGCGUAGAUACUGGGAGGAACACCGGUGGCGAAGGCGGCUCCCUGGACUGGUACUGACACUGAGGUGCGGAAGCGUGGGUAGCAAACA